UACGUAGGGUGCGAGCUUUGUCCGGAAUUAUUGGGCGUACAGAGCUUGUAGGCGGUCUGUCGCGUCUGCUGUGAAAAUCCGGGGCUCAACCCCGGACUUGCAGUGGGUACGGGCAGACUAGAGUGUGGUAGGGAAGACUGGAAUUCCUGGUGUAGCGGUGAAAUGCGCAGAUAUCAGGAGGAACACCGAUGGCGAAGGCAGGUCUCUGGGCCACUACUGACGCUGAGAAGCGAAAGCAUGGGGAGCGAACAGG
rnacentral:rRNA from 1 species